rfam:Mesocricetus auratus contig040798, whole genome shotgun sequence.
UUCUCUGGCUGUGACAUUUUUCACCCUACUGAUCGCCAGGAUUAAUUUGGCUGAUCUGGCUAGCUAGGCAGUAUCCCUUUCCUCACUCACCACUCCGUGUGGUCCCUCCUGAAGCUGUGGAAGAGGAUGACCUUCCCAGAAUAGAGGAGGACCAGUCUUUGGUCAAGGGUAUGUGAGUAGCUGUGAUUCCCCCUGAUAGAACAAGCUCUCUCUUUUCAUAACCCAAAAGUUUGAGUUUUCCUUCCUUC